AGCAGGACUGGUCCUGUGGCCAACACACCCUCUACCAACCCUGCAUGGGGCCCCUGACCCCCAAGCCUACAGGCAUACACAUCCCACCAUGAAAAGACCCCAAUCUUCCUGGUGUGAGGGCAGGCAUCAUUUCAGGGUAUCAUCCUCCUGCCCUGUGUGGACAAUGCUGAGCCCCUGAGAGCCGGGAGGGAGGUACCCCAAUACCCAUCUCUUCCACAGUGAAUGUUGCUCCUCAAAGGGUCACUUCCAAAGAAUGCCAGGUGGCACGCACCAGGAUUUGGCAUCUGACAUGCUCCCGUCUGCUCCCUGGGACACUCCAGAUUACAAAGCAAUCAUCCUUUGUAAGCGCUGACGGAGAACAACUGGCUGCUGCCCUUUAUUUAGCAGGGAACACACUAAGCUAUGGACUCCUGCAGGCUCUGUAAAUGUCCGUGAAAUCAGCCUGGUGACUCCAAGCCCAGUGUAGACUUCGGGGGCCCAAAGAGACCAAGGGGGAGCCCCUGCCCCGGUCUGGCUCUGAGAACAGCCUCCAGGAGAAAAUGCCAAGCCUCUGGAACUCGUGGCAGCUGCUCAACCCGGCAAGUUCUUUCUCGGAAAUCGCUUCUCCCCGCUGAGAUCUGGGCUGGCUCUGCACGUUCUGGCCCCCUUUAUCUGCUGGAUGGAGCUGCCUGGGCACCUCCAAAGGCUGCUCCCGUGCAGGAUGUCAUGGGGACAGCUGUUGUUUCUGUCUGCAGAGCGUCUGUUCCUCCUUCUCCUGGAAGCCCUGUCCUGAUUUUAUUUUUGACAGAGUUCCUUUAAAGAAUGUGCAAAAGGAUGAAAACCUUACAAACUAGAACAGCGCAUGACAUGUGAUUUCUGAAGAUUUCAAACAUGCAAGAGUAAAAGGAAUGAUGGGAUGAACCUUCAUACCCAUCACCCAGCCUCAGCUCCUGCGGCCAAACUGGUUUCAUCUACAACCACCGCUGCUUUUUUUUCCUCCCCUCAUUCUAUUAUUUUGAAGCAAAUCUCAAAUACAUCUGUCCAUCUGUAAAUAUUUCUAAAAGAUAACAUUUUUGUAACAUAAUUAUCA
rnacentral:lncRNA from 13 species